UGAGGAAUAUUGGUCAAUGGGCGCAAGCCUGAACCAGCCAUCCCGCGUGAAGGAAGAAUGCGCUACGCGUUGUAAACUUCUUUUCCAGGGGGAGAAUUUUCCUGUCGAGACAGGGAUUGACGGUACCCUGGGAAUAAGCAUCGGCUAACUCCGUGCCAGCAGCCGCGGUAAUACGGAGGAUGCGAGCGUUAUUCGGAUUUAUUGGGUUUAAAGGGUGCGUAGGCGGAUUGAUAAGUCAGUGGUGAAAUUCUGCAGCUUAACUGUAGACUUGCCGUUGAUACUGUUAGUCUUGAGUGUGGUCAAGGCAGGCGGAAUGUGUAAUGUAGCGGUGAAAUGCUUAGAUAUUACACAGAACACCGAUUGCGAAGGCAGCUUGCUGGGUCAUUACUGACGCUGAUGCACGAAAGCGUGGG
rnacentral:rRNA from 1 species